rnacentral:misc_RNA from 1 species
UUUCCGUAGGUGAACCUGCGGAAGGAUCAUUAUUGUAAUACCAAGGCUCUAGGUGUGUCUCUCAGCCGGAACAUCUUUCCCACCCUUUUGCCCUCACACACAUCCAUCUCACCCCUAUGUGCCCCACCGCGUGUGUCCCCCUUUGGCUUGUUCGGAGGGGGGCUUACGAUUUCUCACAAUCUUUGUAUGCAGUGUAGUAUGUAUUUUUUAUUUUUUCGAACAAGCAAUCAAUACAACUUUCAACAGCUGAUCUCUUGACCCGCGCAGAGAUGAAGAACG